GACGAACGCUGGCGGCGUGCUUAACACAUGCAAGUCGAACGGAAAGGCCCUGCUUUUGUGGGGUGCUCGAGUUGCGAACGGGUGAGUAACACGUGAGUAACCUGCCCUUGACUUUGGGAUAACUUCAGGACACUUGGGCUAAUACCGGAUAGGAGUUCCUGCUGCAUGGUGGGGGUUGGUAAGUUUCGGCGGUUGGGGAUGGACUCGCGUCUUAUCAGCUUGUUGGUGGGGUAGUGGCUUACCAAGGCCUUGACGGGUAGCCGGCCUGAUAGGGUGACCGGACACAUUGGGACUGAGAUACGGCCCAGACUCGUACGGGAGGGAGCGGAGGGGAAUAUUGCACAAUGGGCGGAAGCAUGAUGCAGCACAGCAGCGUGGGGGAUGACGGCAUUCGGGUUGUAUACCGAUUUCGCCUGUGACGAAGCGUGAGUGACGGUAAUGGGUAAAGAAGCACCGGCUAACUACGUG
rnacentral:rRNA from 1 species